UCGUUAAAAAGACUUUGUACAGAGUUCGUUUGAAAGGCGUUCGUUUCAUUAUAGUUCACAAAAACUGUAAACAUUGUUCUGCGAUUUAAAAGAAAGAAAAAAACCGCAUUGGAAAGAAGGAUACAUUAAACAAGAUUUUAUUCUUCUUAUUC